CGAGGGAUCCAAGCGUUGUUCGGAAUUAUUGGGCGUAAAGCGGGUGUAGGUGGCUUUGUAAGUCAGGUGUGAAAGCCCAGGGCUCAACCCUGGAAGUGCAUUUGAUACUGCGAAGCUUGAGUGUAGGAGAGGUUACUAGAAUAGUUGGUGUAGUGGUGAAAUACGUAGAUAUCAACUGGAAUACCGGAGGCGAAGGCGGGUAACUGGCCUAACACUGACACUCAGACCCGAAAGCGUGGGGAUCAAACAGGAUUAGAUACCCUGGUAGUCCACGCCGUAAACGAUGGAUACUUGUUGUUGGAGGUAUUGACCCCUUCAGUGACGAAGCUAACACGUUAAGUAUCCCGCCUGGGGAGUACGGUCGCAAGAUUA
rnacentral:rRNA from 1 species